AAUCAACGCUGGCGGCGUGCCUAACACAUGCAAGUCGAACGCGACUGGGGACUUCGGUUCCCAGUUGAGUGGCGAACGGGUGAGUAACACGUGGGUGAUCUACCUUCGAGUGGGGGAUAACGUUCCGAAAGAACGCUAAUACCGCAUGACGUUCCGGUUUGAAGACCUGGAAACCAAAGCCGGGGACCNCAAGGCCUGGCGCUACAAAGAGGAGCCCGCGUCCGAUUAGCUAGUUGGCGGGGUAAC
rnacentral:rRNA from 1 species